UACGUAGGGUGCAAGCGUUGUCCGGAAUUAUUGGGCGUAAAGAGCUCGUAGGCGGUUUGUCGCGUCUGCUGUGAAAACGCGAGGCUCAACCUCGCGCCUGCAGUGGGUACGGGCAGACUGGAGUGCGGUAGGGGAGAUUGGAAUUCCUGGUGGUAGCGGUGGAAUGCGCAGAUAUCAGGAGGAACACCGAUGGCGAAGGCAGAAUCUCUGGGCCGUAACUGACGCUGAGGAGCGAAAGACGUGGGGAGCGAACAGG
rnacentral:rRNA from 1 species